rnacentral:rRNA from 1 species
UACAGAGGGGGCGAGCGUUGUUCGGAAUUACUGGGCGUAAAGGGCACGUAGGCGUGAAUCGGGUUGAAAGUGAAAGUCGCCAAAAAGUGGCGGAAUGCUCUCGAAACCAAUUCACUUGAGUGAGACAGAGGAGAGUGGAAUUUCGUGUGUAGGGGUGAAAUCCGUAGAUCUACGAAGGAACGCCAAAAGCGAAGGCAGCUCUCUGGGUCCCUACCGACGCUGGGGUGCGAAAGCAUGCGGAGCGAACAGG